rnacentral:rRNA from 1 species
ACAACAAAUGUAAAUCAUUUACAACUUUCACAACGGAUCUCUUGGUUCUGGCAUCGAUGAAGAACGCAGCGAAAUGCGAUACGUAGUGUGAAUUGCAGAAUUCAGUGAAUCAUCGAAUCUUUGAACGCACAUUGCGCCCUUUGGUAUUCCAAAGGGCAUGCCUGUUCGAGCGUCAUUUGUACCCUCAAGCUUUGCUUGGUGUUGGGCGUUUUGUCUUUGCUCGCCAAAGACUCGCCUUAAAACGAUUGGCAGCCGACCUCUUGGUUUCGCAGCGCAGCACAAUUUUGCGCUUGCAAAUCACCAAGUUGGCACUCCAUCAAGAACAUUUUCUUACGUUUGACCUCGGAUCAGGUAGGGAUACCCGCUGAACUUAAGCAUAUCAAUAAGCGGAG